UUUAUUGGGAAAAAAAUAAUAUGCACCAAAUACAGAGAGAUAAAUUCUCUACAAAUAGGAAUUGACUUUUGCCCAAUCCUGUUCCACAAAUAAUUUGCACACAAGAGCUAUCUAUUUCUCUUUUUAUCACCCGAAUUUUUGCGUGGUCCUCUUAUAACAUAUAUAACACUAUUAUGGUACAUAGGGAGAGGCAUAUACGUAUGAAAACGUAUGUUAAUAUCAAAUAUUCUAGACAA